AUUGAACGCUGGCGGCAGGCCUAACACAUGCAAGUCGAACGAGUGGCGGACGGGCGAGUAAUGUAUGGGAAAGUGCCUGACCGAGGGGUAUAAGUACUGGAAACGGUAGCUAAAACUGCAUACCACCCGUUGUGCCCAGAGGGGAUUAGCGAGUUGGUGGGGUAACGUCUCACCAAGGCGACGAGCCCUAGCUAGUCCGAGAGGAUGACCAGCCACACUGGAACUGAGACACGGCCCAGACUCCUACGGGAGGCAGCAGUGGGGAAUAGUUCGCAAUGGACGCAAGCCUGAUGCAGCCAUGCCGCGUGUAUGAAGAAGGCCUUCGGAUUGUAAAGUACUUUCGGCGGAGAGGCGUUACCCGCAGAAGAAGCACCGGCUAACUCCGUGCCAGCAGCCGCGGUAAUUC
rnacentral:rRNA from 1 species